rnacentral:rRNA from 1 species
CAUGCAAGUCGAGGGGAAACGACAUCGAAAACUUGCUUUUGAUGGGCGUCGACCGGCGCACGGGUGAGUAACGCGUAUCCAACCUGCCCACCACUUGGGGAUAACCUUGCGAAAGUAAGACUAAUACCCAAUGACGUCUCUAGAAGACAUCUGAAAGAGAUUAAAGAUUUAUCGGUGAUGGAUGGGGAUGCGUCUGAUUAGCUUGUUGGCGGGGUAACGGCCCACCAAGGCUACGAUCAGUAGGGGUUCUGAGAGGAAGGUCCCCCACAUUGGAACUGAGACACGGUCCAAACUCCUACGGGAGGCAGCAGUGAGGAAUAUUGGUCAAUGGACGAGAGUCUGAACCAGCCAAGUAGCGUGCAGGAUGACGGCCCUAUGGGUUGUAAACUGCUUUUAUAAGGGAAUAAAGUGAGUCUCGUGAGACUUUUUGCAUGUACCUUAUGAAUAAGGACCGGCUAAUUCCGUGCCAGCAGCCGCGGUAAUACGGAAGGUCCGGGCGUUAUCCGGAUUUAUUGGGUUUAAAGGGAGCGUAGGCCGGAGAUUAAGCGUGUUGUGAAAUGUAGAUGCUCGACAUCUGCACUGCAGCGCGAACUGGUUUCCUUGAGUACGCACAAAGUGGGCGGAAUUCGUGGUGUAGCGGUGAAAUGCUUAGAUAUCACGAAGAACUCCGAUUGCGAAGGCAGCUCACUGGAGCGCAACUGACGCUGAAGCUCGAAAGUGCGGGUAUCGAACAGGAUUAGAUACCCUGGUAGUCCGCACGGUAAACGAUGGAUGCCCGCUGUUGGUCUGAAUAGGUCAGCGGCCAAGCGAAAGCAUUAAGCAUCCCACCUGGGGAGUACGCCGGCAACGGUGAAACUCAAAGGAAUUGACGGGGGCCCGCACAAGCGGAGGAACAUGUGGUUUAAUUCGAUGAUACGCGAGGAACCUUACC